rnacentral:lncRNA from 1 species
CCCUUUCUCACCCCCCCACAGCUGUUCCUGACGACUUUACCUACCAGUACGAUGAGACGUCUGGCUACUACUAUGACCCCCAGACUGGUCUCUACUAUGACCCCAACUCCCAGUAUUAUUACAACGCUCAGAGCCAGCAGUACCUAUACUGGGACGGGGAAAGGCGGACCUACGUUCCUGCCCUGGAGCAGUCGGCCGACGGGCAUAAGGAGACAGGGGCCCCCUCGAAGGAGGGUAAAGAGAAGAAGGAGAAGCACAAGACCAAGACAGCCCAACAGAUUGCCAAGGACAUGGAACGCUGGGCCCGCAGUCUCAACAAGCAGAAAGAAAACUUCAAAAACAGCUUCCAGCCCAUCAGCUCCCUGCGAGACGA